rnacentral:rRNA from 1 species
GACGAACGCUGGCGGCGUGCUUAACACAUGCAAGUCGAACGGAAAGGCCCCUUUGGGGGUACUCGAGUGGCGAACGGGUGAGUAACACGUGAGUAACCUGCCCUUGACUUCGGGAUAACUUCAGGAAACUGGGGCUAAUACCGGAUAGGAAUCCUUGCUGCAUGGUGGGGGUUGGAAAGCUUCGGCGGUUUUGGAUGGACUCGCGGCUUAUCGGCUUGUUGGUGGGGUAGUGGCUUACCAAGGCUUUGACGGGUAGCCGGCCUGAGAGGGCGACAGGCCACAUUGGGACUGAGAUACGGCCCAGACUCCUACGGGAGGCAGCAGUGGGGAAUAUUGCACAAUGGGCGGAAGCCUGAUGCAGCAACGCCGCGUGCGGGAUGACGGCCUUCGGGUUGUAAACCGCUUUCAGCAGGGGCGAAGCUUGUGGUGACGGUACCUGCAGAAGAAGCACCGGCUAACUACGUG